rnacentral:rRNA from 1 species
CCAGCAGCCGCGGUAAUUCCAGCUCCAAUAGCGUAUAUUAAAGUUGUUGCAGUUAAAAAGCUCGUAGUCUGAUGUAAUGGGGACGGGAGUGGGGAGCAGCGAUGCUCUGUGCUUCGGUUUCCAUCAGGGGGUCAGCAAUGGCCCGGUUAACUUUGAAAAAAUUAGAGUGUUCAAAGCAGGCCAACGCUUGAAUACAUUAGCAUGGAAUAAUGGAAUAGGACUUUGGUGCUAUUUCGUUGGUUUAUGGGACCGAAGUAAUGAUUAAUAGGGACAGUUGGGGCCGUUUAUAUUCCGUUGUCAGAGGUGAAAUUCUUGGAUUUACGGAAGAUAAACUUCUGCGAAAGCAUUCGGCAAGGAUGUUUUCAUUGAUCAAGAACGAAAGU